rnacentral:rRNA from 1 species
CAGAGGUUACUGCUAUCGAAGRKUCGACUAAGCCAUGCGAGUUGAAUGUUCUUCGUGAACAUGGCGGACUGCUCAGUAACACGUGGACAACCUACCCUUGGGUCCGGCAUAAUCCUGGGAAACUGGGAAUAAUUCCGGAUAGGUCACCGAUGCUGGAAUGCGCGGUGGCCGAAAGCUCCGGCGCCCGAGGAUGGGUCUGCGGCCUAUCAGGGUUGUAGUGGGUGUAACGUACCUACUAGCCUACGACGGGUACGGGUUGUGAGAGCAAGAGCCCGGAGAUGGAUUCUGAGACACGAAUCCAGGCCCUACGGGGUGCAGCAGGCGCGAAAACUUUACAAUGCGGGAAACCGUGAUAAGGGGAUCUCGAGUGCCAGCAUAUAAUGUUGGCUGUCCAGAUGCCUAAAAAGCAUCUGUUAGCAAGGGCCGGGCAAGACCGGUGCCAGCCGCCGCGGUAACACCGGCGGCCCGAGUGGUAACCGCUAUUAUUGGGUCUAAAGGGUCUGUAGCCGGCCAGGUAAGUCCCUUGGGAAAUCUGGCAGCUCAACUGUCAGGCUGCUAGGGGAUACUGUUUGGCUUGGGACCGGGAGAGGUGAGAGGUACCUUGGGGGUAGGGGUGAAAUCUUGUGAUCCUCGAGGGACCACCAGUGGCGAAGGCGUCUCACCAGAACGGGUCCGACGGUAAGGGACGAAAGCUAGGGGCACGAACCGGAUUAGAUACCCGGGUAGUCCUAGCCGUAAACGAUGCUCGCUAGGUGUCAGUCACGGUGCGACCGUGAUUGGUGCCGUAGGGAAGCCGUGAAGCGAGCCACCUGGGAAGUAUGGCCGCAAGGCUGAAACUUAAAGGAAUUGGCGGGGGAGCACUACARCGGGUGGAGCCUGCGGUUUAUUG